UAAUGGAGAGCUAAUGCAUUCUUUUCCUAACAUAUGACUAACCACAUAGAACAGCCGUGUGAAGGAGGACCAGAAAGUGUGACUUUAUCUUACUUGAUCCUGUCCCACUCCAGGGAAGAUGGCAGACUUAGGCUCUCUUAAGGAGGCAUACCCACAAAGGGGGAGUCAUUAGCAGCCAUGCAUCUGGAGAGAAGUCCGCAGAGAGAAGAACUAAGGCCUCCCAUCAAAGACCAGCACCGAUUUCCAACAUUAGGAAUGAGCACCUUAGAACCGAAUCCACCAGCUUCAGUCAGUUCUUCAGAUGAUGGCAGCUCUGGCCAAGAGCUUGACCGCAACCUCAUGGGAUACCUCAAAUCGGACAGUCCGGAUUAAAUGCUGCCGGAGAGGCGCACCCCAGGACAGCCCCGUCGGGAGGACCACACCUGCUGCAACCUUCCUUUCCUCCAAAGUGCUUUGUGAGAGCUGCAAGUUGUCGAAAUAAAAAACACGAGCUGCAAA